UACGGAGGGGGCUAGCGUUGUUCGGAAUUACUGGGCGUAAAGCGCACGUAGGCGGUUUUGUAAGUCAGGGGUGAAAUCCCGGGGCUCAACCUCGGAACUGCCUUUGAUACUGCAAAUCUCGAGUCCGGAAGAGGUGAGUGGAAUUCCUAGUGUAGAGGUGAAAUUCGUAGAUAUUAGGAAGAACACCAGUGGCGAAGGCGGCUCACUGGUCCGGUACUGACGCUGAGGUGCGAAAGCGUGGGGAGCAAACAGG
rnacentral:rRNA from 1 species